rnacentral:lncRNA from 1 species
AACAGAGAGAAUAAUUACACUUUUUUAUGAUGAAACGGCUCACGUAAGAUUCUCUCAUCCCUUUUUUACAAGCGUAAUGCUCUAGAUAGGCCAUUUACACUCCACAUAAUAAUUUAUUUAAAAAAAAUAAGAUUUGUUACACUCAAAGAAAAGAAAAAUACACUCACACUCUAACUUUCUAGGUGAUUCGAACUCCCCAUAUAUUGGUUAAAAUUUUAGAGGAGAGAAAAAAAACACUCACACUCUAGCCUUCUAGGUGACUCGAACCCCCGAUCUAUUGGUUAGAGCCUUAGAGGAAAGCGUCCCACCAACAUAUUUAUUUCUUAAACAAUUAGAAGUAAUAUUCAUUAAGAAUAGAAAAAUAAAGCAUCCGUCCUACUUGAAAUUGAUAAGUAGAGGCUAAUAAUUGAAUUUUGUUAAUUUUGGAGGCGGCGGCUAGGGUUAGGCCUUUAUUAGGUGGUGAUGAAAGAUUUUUCAAACAUUACGGCGAUAACCGUGCUAAAAUAUAAAGGCCCACAAUCUCACUUUUAUAAAGCCGCCGAUGCCCCCAAACGGCCGAACCCACUCUCUUCACCAUAUUAUUAUUUUUAUUUCGUUUUGUUUAUAUGAAGAAAUUAUGUCAUGUAAUUAAGGUGAACCAUUGGUAAAUUUAUUUCAUAUAAAAGAGAUGAAAAAACUUAAUCGAGGUACCACAUUUUUGUUUAUGCUUGUUUUUCACAAUUAUAUUACCUAUCUCAAAAUUAAGGUGAUUGUAGUAUAAUUUACACGAUGUCAACGAAACUUGAAUUAAUGACGGUUUAUGCGAGGCAGACUUUGAUACUUCAACUUUGUUGAUUGUAGUAAGCCUCCUCGGCGGUGAGGAAACUAUCAUAAAAAAGCAAGUUAAUAUGUUUGACAAUUCAUGCCUAAAUCAAGAAAAAU